AUGAAAUUCAUCAAUCCGAAAGAGGGCAAGAGCGGAGAGAGGGAACAGGGCCCAGGCGAGAGAAACAAAACAGCAAGGACGAGGCCAGUCUGAAGCCGAAUGAUUCAAACGUCGAGAACCAGGUGUUUCAGGGAAGAGCGAAGCCUGUCUGACAGACUCGGUGGGAGCCGCGCCCUCAGCGCAGGACGUGGGAGAUGGACGUUGAAGGAGAGACCAGGCGCGCGGACCCGGAAGAGAGCGGACAGUCGUGUUGACACAGCUGGCGCAAGAGUGUGGGGACACUGAGGCCAGGGCUCUGCUGGCGCUGAGGGGAGGGGGUCUCCUCACGCAGGACGGCCCACCCACAGGAGGACGCGUUCUAUGUCGAUGGCUUUGCUACCCUGGUCUCAAACACGGGGAGCACGGCGGCCGAGUCACAGGCGGAGACAGACCCACGGCCGGCGCAGAACACCGCAGACUUCUCCCUUCCCGCCCGACAGGACGAGCAGGCGAGAAGACGGACUGACGGAGGGGCUCAAACAACAGUGACCUCGCUGAUACACAGACAAUAACCCCCGCAGCGGGGAGCGGCGGACCACGCCAAAACCACGGAGCCCGGCCACCAAGCGAGCAGAGCUUGCGCAGGAUUUUCCUGUGUCAUCCCUGCGCAGUGGAACAACCCCAUCCGAUACCAGGGGUAUUUUUAAGUCACCGUCAGAGUCAUGUAUCUACUCUUUAAAUGUUAGAUUUGUGCAUCCUUGUUGUCAAGUAAAAUCAGCUGAUAAUUUUCUUUUCUACUGAACGUACCCCGUAUAUGACAAAGGGCCCGCCCCCAGAGUGGCUUUCUCCAGCUUGAUUUGUGGAUGGACACGCGUGUGCCAAGAGAUGAAGUUGGCAAGAGGGAAAGUCACCUCCCAUGUUGACUCAUUUAUUCACUCGUCAAAUGGGUUCUGAGGAUUCUGGAUAAACCCUGAACUGUGCCACCCAGAAGUCACCACGCUGAGGACGACAAGACCUGCAGGUGCACUACUUGGCUGGCAGACAACACCUCUGGAGUGAGGAGUUACUGAAACAAGGCCUGAAGUGUGUGAGGUCGGCUUUGGAACUGGGCAGCGAGCCCGAAGGAGCUCCAGGUGCUGCUAGCGAAGCCUUGAAGAGAUUUGCAAUGCCCUCAGGCUGGAUCACAGGCUUCCUUUACUCCACAGCCUGCUGUGGCCAUCACCGCCCCGUCUAUUGACAGUCUUGACCACCCAGAGGGACGAGAGGAUUGGAGGCCAUCACGACUGAAGGCUCAGUGGCGGGGGCGACAGGAUAUUCUUAGAUCCAAUUGUCGUAAAGUGGACGGCCCGCGUCACUCCCGCUCUCACGAGUGUCUGCAAGAGCGCCUUGGACACGCCUGGCGGGGACAUGACCACUAGCUGGGGCCCACAUCCCCACUGCCUGGCCUUGAGCUCGUGUGGCCCAGAGCCUGGUUCUCCCACACGAAGCGGGCAGGAGAGACGCCCGUGCACGGGGCUGGACCCUCUCAGCUGACAGAGAAGGAAGUAGAAGAAGCGUGUGGACGCGCUGACCCUUCCCAGGGGUCGGCACGAAGGUCCAGAACAGGACUGCUGGCUCCACGCGCCGUCACGCCCAUCGUGCUUUUCCUCUCCUCUUUCCACGUAACGCUCCCUUCCUGGCGCAGAAGCUGACAGUGUGGGGGCUUCUCACUCACUCGGGGACUCGGCUCCCAACCGCCUCAGAAGCAGCUUGCUUGCCACCUGUUGAAGAUGAAGCCGCCGAGGCCCAGAGAGUUUGCACAGAUGCUGGGAGAGCUCCACGCUGAAUUCACGACGGGGCAGAGCAGCGGCUUCGAGGAAGGAGAGCCCAGCGGGGCAGGAGGACGAGCUCGCCCUGCCCGGGUGCCACCCACACAGAGAGCCCCCAGCCUCUCUGAGAGGAGGCGCCUGUCCCGUUUGGCUCGGGCAGCAGUAACAAACGGCCACAGGCUGACGGCUUGAACAACAGACGUUCGUUCUCUCACAGUCUGGGGGCUGGACAUCCGAGAUCCGGCUGUCUCAGGGCUGGUUCCUCUGAGGGCUCGCUCCUCGGUGUGUAGACACCGUCUUCUCCCUGUGUCCUCGCAUGGUCGAACCUGUGCGUGUGUCUGCGUCCCCAUCCCCUCUUCUCAUAGGGACCCCAGUGAACGGGAUUAGGCCACCCUGGUGACCUCAGUUUACCUGAAUCACCUCCAAACAUAGACACAUUCUGGGGUCCUGAGAGUUAGGAAUGUGAAUUUGGGGGCACAUUUCAGCCCAUAACAACCCCAAACCCCAUUUCCUGAGGCUGAGGACGGGGUCAGGGGCCGCCUCUCCAACUCCAGCCCACUGCCCUGCUGGCCUCACUCCCCCACGGGUGGGCGGAGAGGCCGUGGGCAUGUCUGGAAGUUUCUGGAGUGUAGAUCACCAGCUCCCAGGGCCAUAGCAGGCUCGCAGGAGGGUGCUAGAAAUUUCCCAGCAGCUCAACCAGCCGCGCCCAAGGUUCCUCCCAGCACCGCAGCCAGGAGGCCAGGAACAAGGGCAGGAGCCCAGAGCCCCGUGCAGACACCUCUGCUGUGGACCAGACAGUCCCAGGUCACAUCUUCACGGUCUGGGUGGGGGUGGGGACUGUGCCCGGGUCCCAGGACUUCAAAGGUCCAGCCCACGUGUGCCACUCCCACCGCCUGGGCCCACCGCCCCUCCCCACCACACGGCUGCGUCCCCUCCACACGGGCGCCCCUGCCCUUCACACGCCCUGUGUCCCCUCUGAGCUCCUGCAUCCAGCCCGGGCUCACAUCAGUGUCUGAAUGACUUUUAAAAUCGUAAGAGAAACAAAG
ensembl:lncRNA